GCAUGAGGAAGGGAGGGAGUAGCAUGAUGGACAGAAGGAGAGACAGGGAGGGAGGAGCAUGAGGAAGGGAGCGAGUAGCAUGGGGAAGGGAGGGAGUAGCAUGAUGGAGGAAGGGAGGGACAUGAGGAAGGGAGGGAGUAGCAUGACGGACAGAAGGAGAGACAGGGAGGGAGUAGCAUGAGAAAGGGAGGGAGCAGAAUGAGGAAGGGAGGGAGUAGCAUGAGGAAGGGAGGGAGCAGAAUGAGGAAGGGAGGGAGUAGCAUGACGGACAGAAGGAGAGACAGGGAGGGAGUAGCAUGAGGAAGGGAGG
ensembl:lncRNA